AUGACUAUCAACAGCUAUGCCGCGUUGAUGGGUUACCUAUACAUGGCCAUCAAGGGUGUAGGUUUUCUCAUACUUACUUGGACAACCGUCGUACUUCUUGGUGGCUUCGUCUCUGCGCUCCACAAAAAAGAUUUUUGGUGUCUCACAUUUAUCACCUUGGUCACCGCCGUACAAACAACUGGGUAA
rnacentral:rRNA from 1 species